rnacentral:lncRNA from 1 species
CUGGCUGGCUGGCUCUAGAGGGGCUGUUCCUGCAGGCUGUGCCCCUUCUCUCCCCAGUUGCCCAGACUCUGCCCUGACUGUCACCCCUUCCCUUGCCUAGGGUGACCCAGGAGAGCCAGGAGAGAAGGGGGAGCCGGGCCGAGCAGGCACCCCUGGGCAGACCGGGAUGCGAGGCAAGGAGGUAGUGUGGGACAAGGGGCUGUGGGGCACUGUGGCCCUGAGGAGAGGGGGGGCUGGCAGGGAGCAGGGGGAUGCUGGUGACUUGUACUUUUCUCUCCUGGCUGGUGCCCACUGAUUUGUGCCACAGGGAGAGAGAGGAGAGAAAGGUGAUGAAGGCACCCCGGUAAGUGAGGGCCCCCAGGACCCCUGCCCCUCUCCCCACUGCCCCUGUUCCUACUCCCCCCACUCACCCCCUCUUUCCCCACAGGGUGAAGCGGGUCUGCCUGGCAAACCUGGAGACAGGGGUCCCCGGGUAAGUGCAGGGCUGCUGGGCACCCUGGGGCAGGAAAAAGACACAUGGCCUCGAGGUGGCUCCUGCUAAUGCACAUCUUCCCUUUGUCCUCCACCCAGGGCCUUCCUGGCUACCGUGGCCCCCCUGGGGAGAAAGGUGACUUGGGGGACCCAGGACCUGAGGGCAGGAAUGGCAGCCCUGGAGCACCAGGGAGCAAGGGUGACCGUGGGGACCCGGUAAGUGAUGGCAGGGCCACGUGUGGCCCCCCACCCCAGAGCCAGCUGUGCCCUCCCCGGGGCUGCGUCAGCUCCCCUUAAUCUGCUUCCCUUGCCCUUCUUUCAGGGGCCUCCUGGACCCCCAGGACGAGCUGUAAGUUCUGCCUCUCUCUUCUCCCUUCCCAUGGGCUGGUGUCCAGCCCCGUGUGCUCCAACAGCUCCUCUCUGCCCCACAGGUCGAUGCUGGGCUUGGAGGAGUGGGAGAAAAGGGUGAGAAGGUAAUGAAUGAGGAUGGUGGUGGUGGGAUACCCUCUGCUGUCCCCUGGGCUCUGCCUGGCCACUGGGAUCACCGUUCAUCAAGCCCUCCCUGCCCAAAGCAGCCUCUGCCAUGUGUAGCUGAUGAUGUGCACCAUGACUGAGAGGCACAUGGAACCUGGGGGCACGUGGGCUGACGCGUCCCCCAUGAUGGGAGGAGGCCCUGUAGGGCUGAGGUUUCCAAAGGAACUGGUGUGCUCCUGGCUCUCCAGCCCCACAGAGGUCCCAUGGCAGCACCCA